GGACCCACAUCAUUUGGUUGGGGCUCCCAGUAUCUAUAGGUCCAUGUACUUUCAACUGUUCCAUGACACCUUUUAUGUGAAACAGGAGAUCUUGCGUGGUGUAGCCAUCUGUGUGGACCGAAACUUGGGAUACCCAGGUUGAAGUCCUCACUGAGCCACAAAACUCACGAGGUAACUGGAAGAAGUCACUCUACCUCAGUAACUCUUUUUCUUGCUUCAUAGAGAGGAAGAUGGCCAUCUUGCGUUCAUUUGGAUACACAUGAAUAUAAACGUAAAGACUAUAAAAAGCUCUGGCCAUCAAUGAUAGCUUUCCUGGGCGUUCUGUUGGGUGCUGAUCAAAUCUAGGAAUUUUUGCUUUUAGAUGUGCCAGUUUCCCUCUUAUAAUAUAUAGCACACACUCUCCUGGACUCGAUGGUUGUUAUUUUAUCAUCAUCAUCAUCACCACCACCACCACCAUCUUAGUACUGCAGAACUGGAAGGGACCCUAUGGAUGAUCAAAUCUAGCCCCUGUCAAGUAGGCACAGUGGGGAACUGAACUCCCAACCUCUACUUAAACCACUGAGCUACCCAGUGUGUGCUAUAUAUUUUAAGAGGCAAAUUGGCACAUCUAAAAGCAGUAGCUCUGGGUAGUUUGCAACAUCAUUGUUAAAGGAACACUUUGCCCCCAAGCAAGCUGGGUAUUCAUUUACCAGUCUUGGAAGGAUGGAAGGCUGAGUCAACCUUGAGCAGGCUACGUGAACCCAUCGGGAUCGAACAUGGGUCAUGAGCAGAGACGUGAGUGAUUGCAGGAGAGCAGUUUAACUGCUGUGCCAUGGGGUUCGCUGGCUAUUCUUCUGCCUGUAUGUUCACCCUAGUAACUAAAAAAAAAAUCAAACUCUUCGUUGGGUUGCCUUUCUUUGUAAUUUGGUGGAGAAGGUUUUUGAUUCCUUGCCAUCUGUGUAGAUAGUGAAUAGUGGUUCUUUUAAUUUUUUCUUUUAAUAUUUUUGGAUUGAGAAUGAACACACUGACUCUUCGUUUCCCAUCCAUGCUGCUGACUAUUGGCUGCUCCUUGAUGCUAACCUUAGCAAUAGAUGAGGAACAAUAUGUAGAAAAGAAGUCAGAUACUUUCUUUAAGAAACACGUGGCUCAGUUUUGGGUGAAACCACCCAGAUGCUAUGAGUGUCCAUUAGUUUUAAAAGAUAAUACCUGUUUCCAAGGCCAGCAUUACUGCCGAACAAGUGGAUUCUGUUACACAAGAAGCUGUUCCAAAGGGAGUCUAAUUAGGAAGAUCAAGCGAGGCUGCACCUGGGACUGCAAGCACUUCAUCAAGUUUCAUAAAGGCAUUACACAGCGUACCUGGUGCUGCAGUGAGGACUACUGCAACAUUCAUGAUGCUUGGCGGGGCAAUCACUAA
rnacentral:lncRNA from 1 species